CACCACCUCGACCACCACCCCUCCUCUGGUCUGUAUCAACGGUGGUAAGCUAAAGAGUCAAGUUUGUAUCUGUCCUGAUGAGUGGACUGGAGAGACCUGUUCAGAUGGUACAUUCACAGUACACACCACUACACCACUACACUACUAUACCUAACCCUGGAUCUCACAUUCAGAAUGUAUAUUUCAUGUUUGCAUGUUGAGAUGCAUUUUAUGUCAAUAGGGAAUUUCUGCAAUUCCACCAGCAAGGAUGGAUUCUCCUUCCCAAGAACACCGGUUGGCUGGUCUGCUUAUUCAGAAGAGUCAUGUGAUGAGAAGACAACCAGUGCCGGUUUACCAGAAGCCUCAGCAAGAUGUUUGAAUGACACCGGCUCUCCAAUGUUUGGUCCUCCUCACAUUCUGCAGUGUGAAUUUACCCUCAGUGACAUUCAAGGAAAUAUCUCUAGCAGUUCAGGUGAUUUACUACAGUUAGCCUUCAGUACUCAGAUCCUGACCAACCAAAAACAUCAGCUGUCAGCUGACAACAUCACCAUAGCAGCUCAGAUCACUAACACACUGCUUCUGUCUGCAAAUAUCAC